rnacentral:rRNA from 1 species
ACGGGGGGGGCAAGCGUUGUUCGGAAUUACUGGGCGUAAAGGGUCUGUAGGUGGCCAACUAAGUCAGACGUGAAAUCCCUCAGCUUAACUGGGGAACUGCGUCUGAUACUGGUUGGCUUGAGUGCAGGAGAGGAAUGCGGAAUUCCAGGUGUAGCGGUGAAAUGCGUAGAUAUCUGGAGGAACACCGGUGGCGAAGGCGGCAUCCUGGACCAAUUCUGACGCUGAAUAGCGAAAGCCAGGGGAGCAAACGGG